GUGGGGAAUAUUCCGCAAUGGACGAAAGUCUGACGGAGCAACGCCGCGUGAGUGAUGAAGGUUUUCGGACUGUAAAGCUCUGUUAAUCGGGACGAAAGAGCCUAGUGUGAAUAAUGCUAGGAAGUGACGGUACCGGAAUAGAAAGCCACGGCUAACUACGUGCCAGCAGCCGCGGUAAUACGUAGGUGGCAAGCGUUGUCCGGAAUUAUUGGGCGUAAAGCGCGCGCAGGCGGAUCUGCCAGUCUGUCUUAAAAGUUCGGGGCUUAACCCCGUGAUGGGAUGGAAACUACAGAUCUAGAGUAUCGGAGAGGAAAGUGGAAUUCCUAGUGUAGCGGUGAAAUGCGUAGAUAUUAGGAAGAACACCAGUGGCGAAGGCGACUUUCUGGACGAAAACUGACGCUGAGGCGCGAAAGCCAGGGGAGCGAACGGGAUUAGAUACCCGAGUAGUCC
rnacentral:rRNA from 1 species